GAAGUGCGAUAAGUAGUGUGAAUUGCAGAUUUCCGUGAACCAUCGAGUUUUUGAACGCAAAUUGCGCUCGAGGCCUCCGGGUCGAGAGCAUGUCUGCCUCAGCGUCGCUCAUACCAAAUCGGCUCCUCAACUUUGAAUAAAAGUGGGAGGGUGCCGGAUCUGGCCGUCCGGUUGCACAGGCCGGUCGGCUGAAAGGAUUGCUCCGCUCGCAGCCUCCCUUUAAUGGGAAGGAGCCAGCCGGUAAGCAGGACCUUCUCCUAUUGGGGUUGGCCUGGCCUGCGUUGAGUUCUGGUUGUGGGUUUGUAAGGAGUUGACAGGAACCACUUUUGAACAUCGACCUGAGAUCAGGCAAGGACACCCGCUGAACUUAA
rnacentral:misc_RNA from 1 species